GGACCCGCACAAGUAGUGGAGCAUGUGGUUUAAUUCGAAGAUACGCGCAGAACCUUACCAACACUUGACAUGUUCGUCGCGACUUUAAGAGAUUAAAGUUUUCGGUUCGGCCGGACGAAACACAGGUGCUGCAUGGUUGUCGUCAGCUCGUGUCGUGAGAUGUUGGGUUAAGUCCCGCAACGAGCGCAACCCUCACUUUUAGUUGCCAUCAUUAAGUUGGGCACUCUGAAAGAACUGCCAGUGAUAAGCUGGAGGAAGGUGGGGAUGACGUCAAGUCCUCAUGGCCCUUACGUGUUGGGCUACACACGUGCUACAAUGGUAUCUACAACAGGAAGCAAGACGGCGACGUUAAGCAAACCGCAGAAACGCCGCCCAGUUCGGAUUGCAGGCUGAAAUUCGCCUGCAUG
rnacentral:rRNA from 1 species